rnacentral:rRNA from 1 species
GACGAACGCUGGCGGCGUGCCUAAUACAUGCAAGUUGAGCGCUGAAGGUUGGUACUUGUACCAACUGGAUGAGCAGCGAACGGGUGAGUAACGCGUGGGGAAUCUGCCUUUGAGCGGGGGACAACAUUUGGAAACGAAUGCUAAUACCGCAUAAAAACUUUAAACACAAGUUUUAAGUUUGAAAGAUGCAAUUGCAUCACUCAAAGAUGAUCCCGCGUUUUAUUAGCUAGUUGGUGAGGUAAAGGCUCACCAAGGCGAUGAUACAUAGCCGACCUGAGAGGGUGAUCGGCCACAUUGGGACUGAGACACGGCCCAAACUCCUACGGGAGGCAGCAGUAGGGAAUCUUCGGCAAUGGACGAAAGUCUGACCGAGCAACGCCGCGUGAGUGAAGAAGGUUUUCGGAUCGUAAAACUCUGUUGGUAGAGAAGAACGUUGGUGAGAGUGGAAAGCUCAUCAAGUGACGGUAACUACCCAGAAAGGGACGGCUAACUACGU